UACGAACGAAACGGAACUUCCGCAAGAAGAAAAUUCGACCCUUCGUCGUUAGGGCGAGGAGACAGCAAAAAGACGAUCAUCUGCCGGAGAAAAUCGACGUCUCGUCGUUUCGAUUUCCAAGAACGCGGCAGUAUUGAAUAACAAAAAUGAGACUAGAAAUGAUACCUUAGGAGUAAGGAUCACAACUGACAUUCAGAAAAGCAAUGUUGAGACAAAGAAUAACUUCACG